rnacentral:rRNA from 1 species
CCCCAGACUCCUACGGGAGGCAGCAGUGAGGAAUAUUGGUCAAUGGGCUUACGCCUGAACCAGCCAAGUCGCGUGAGGGAAGACUGCCCUAUGGGUUGUAAACCUCUUUUGUCAGGGAGCAACGCCGGCUACGUGUAGCCGGACUGAGAGUACCUGAAGAAAAAGCAUCGGCUAACUACGUGCCAGCAGCCGCGGUAAUACGUAGGGGGCAAGCGUUAUCCGGAUUUACUGGGUGUAAAGGGAGCGUAGGCGGCUGUGUAAGCCAGAAGUGAAAGCCCGAGGCUCAACCACGGGACUGCUUUUGGAACUACAUGGCUCGAUUGCAGGAGAGGCAAGUGGAAUUCCUAGUGUAGCGGUGAAAUGCGUAGAUAUUAGGAGGAACACCAGUGGCGAAGGCGGCUUGCUGGACUGUAAAUGACGCUGAGGCUCGAAAGCGUGGGGAGCAAACAGGAUUAGAUACCCUAGUAC